AUGGCACAAGGUUGUCAUUUGCAAGAGAAGAAAUGGACAUCCCGAGAGGGGGAGCCAGAUGUCCAAAUAGAAGCCUCCAGUAAUCAUCUCCCUUCAGGAACACCAAAUCAAACAACUAUCCGCACAAAAGAGCACCUUCAUAAGAACCAAAAAUCAAAUUAAAAAGACCAAUGACAGCAGGAAGAUCCAAGAUGGCCCCUUUUGGAGCAACUCAGGAUUGCAGCUCCCAGUGAAAGUGCAGAAAGUGAGAGGAUGCCGCAUUUCCAGAUGGAUAUUUAUUGCCCACAGACCAGGAGAUUCCUAGGCAGAGGAGCCCUACAGGUCGCCAGUGCAGCUGUUUAGGCCAGCACAGCUGUUUUAGCCAGUGCAACUGUUUUGCCGGCGCCAUGGCAUGGCAGCUCUCCAUACAAAAUACACUGGUC
ensembl:lncRNA